rnacentral:lncRNA from 1 species
GCUGCCGUGUCUAGGGAGGAUAUGCCUUCCCAGGGAUGGCUGAGAUUCUGAAAGGAUCACAGAGCACUGGGGAAUACGGUUUCUUUUUUUUAAAUUUUUUUUUAAAUUUUAUGACUUUUUAUUUACAAGUUACAUGUGUGGGUAAUUUUUCAGCCUUGACAAUUGCAAAACCUUCUGUUCCAAUUUUUCCCCUCCCCCCUCCCCCUCCCCCAGAUGGCAGCUAGGCCCAUACAUGUUAAAUAUGUUAAAGUAUAAGUUAAACACAAUAUAAGUACACAUGUCCUAACAGUUAUUUUGCUGCAGAAAAAGAAUCGGGCUCCGACAUAGUGUACAGUUAAUCUGUGAAGGAAAUCAAAAAUGCAGGUGGGCAAAAAUAGAGGGAUUGGGAAUUCUAUGUAAUGGUUUUUAGUCAUUUCCCAGAGUUCCUUCCCUGGGCGUAGCUGGUUCAGUUCCUUACUGCUCUGUUGGAACUGGUUUGUUUCAUCUCAUUGCUGAGGAUGGCCACGUCCAUCAGAAUUGAUCAUCAUAUAGUAUUGUUGUUAAAGUACAUAAUGAUCUCCUGGUCCUGCUCACUUCCCUCAGCAUCAGUUCAUGUAAGUCUUGCCAGGCCUCUCUGUAUUCAUCCUGCUGGUCAUUUCUUACCGAACAAUAAUAUUCCUUAACAUUCAUAUACCACAAUUUAUUCAGCCAUUGGAAAUAGUGUCUUAAAUGGACCACAACCCGCUUCAAUGUGGCCACCAGAGGAUGGUAAGGAGGUCUUGGACGUCAGGUGUGGCAGGCAGAGGAAGGGACAAACAUUCUCCCCUUUGGAAGAGGGCUCUGAAAAAGGAGAUCAACUUAGUCCCUGGUCUCACCCUGUCCAGGGUGGGACUCUGGGCCACACUGAUGGAUACAAGAGCCUUCUCCCUGCCGGGCUCAGGAUCUCUUUCCCUGCUCACCACACUCCCGAUACCUCUGUCAGAAAGGAGCUUUGUCCCGUCAGCGGCAGAAACCGACUGUGGUAAGUGGGGACGGGUGGGUGAGAACAGGAUAGGGGGGUAAUAGCAUUUAAGUACCUCCUUUAAAAGCGAUUUGUUCUUUUAUUUUGGGGAUAGAUUUCUGCGAUUAGAAUAUUAGCCCGGACUCCCAGGUACUGGGAGAAAAGGGGGCCCUCAGUGCUCAGACUUUUUAAUCUUGUUUUGCAGUUUUUCUUUGCACUCUUUACUGACAAAACACCUCGAAGGAAUUUUACUCAGAGUUUGUGUUUUUGUGAGUUCUCCGAGUGAGUUCUCAUCUCCUUCCAUUGCUGAGAUAAUUGGUUAAGUGACUUACCCAGAGUCACACAGCCUUAAGUAUUUUUUUUUUUACAUUUUUUUUUUUUUAUUUAAUAGCCUUUUAUUUACAGGAUUUAUACAUGGGUAACUUUACAGCAUUAACAAUUGCCAA